UGUGGUUUUUGACGUAUAGCUUAACCUCUGCCUUAGUUUCCUCAUGCAGAAAUGAAUAAUAGUGCCUACCUCACCCGGUUGUUGUAAAGAGAAAAUGGAUGAACUCAUGAAACGUGCUGUUAAGCACUAAUAGAAAUGAGCUCACUUGCCUUCAGUGCCUAUUGCAGACCUGGAAAAUUGCAGGACCCUUGGCACACGAGGUUGUAAAGCUUGCACCUGGGACAGCCACCCUGGGAGCAAGGCGGAGGAUUUAUGGGCACUCGGAGGCUGGGAAGACAGAAAGAUGAAAAGAAGCAGUGUCUUUGAUGGCAUCGCUGAGCUGCUCAGCCCACCCUGAGACUGACUGAUCUGUGAGGUGACAACAAUAAUAAAAGCUAAUUGCUUAAGCCACUUUUA